rnacentral:rRNA from 1 species
GACGAACGCUGGCGGCGUGCCUAACACAUGCAAGUCGAACGGGGUAAUCCUUCGGGGUUACUUAGUGGCGAACGGGUGAGUAACGCGUGAAGAACCUGCCUUUCAGUGGGGGACAACAGUUGGAAACGACUGCUAAUACCGCAUAAUGUUAUUUGAGGGCAUCCUCGGAUAACCAAAGCUUUAUGUGCUGAAAGAUGGUCUCGCGUCUGAUUAGCUAGAUGGCGGGGUAACGGCCCACCAUGGCGACGAUCAGUAGCCGGCCUGAGAGGGUGAACGGCCACAUUGGGACUGAGACACGGCCCAAACUCCUACGGGAGGCAGCAGUGGGGAAUAUUGCACAAUGGGGGAAACCCUGAUGCAGCGACGCCGCGUGAGUGAAGAAGUAUUUCGGUAUGUAAAGCUCUAUCAGCAAGGAAGAAAAUGACGGUACUUGACUAAGAAGCCCCGGCUAACUACGUG